rnacentral:rRNA from 1 species
AGCAGCCGCGGUAAUUCCAGCUCCAAUAGCGUAUAUUAAAGUUGUUGCAGUUAAAAAGCUCGUAGUUGAAUUUCGAGAUCAAAUUGUUGGUCGUGCCUCGGUACGUACUGGCAUUAUUGAUUUCUCCCUUCUGAAGAACCACGAUGUCAUUAAUUUGGUGUCGUGGGGAAUCAGGACUGUUACUUUAAAAAAUUAGAGUGUUUAAAGCAGGCUCACGCUUGAAUACAUUAGCAUGGAAUAAUGAAAUAGGACGUUUGAUUCUAUUUUGUUGGUUUCUAGGAUCGACGUAAUGAUUAAUAGGGAUAGUUGGGGGCAUUAGUAUUCAAUUGUCAGAGGUGAAAUUCUUGGAUUUAUUGAAGACUAACUACUGCGAAAGCAUUUGCCAAGGAUGUUUUCAUUAAUCAAGAACGAAAGUUAGGGGAUCGAAGACGAUCAGAUACCGUCGUAGUC